rnacentral:miRNA from 1 species
AGGUGGGAGGAUUGCUUGAACCGGGAGGUGGAGGUUGCAGUGAGCUGAGAUCACGCCACUGCACUCCAGCCUGGG